UUUUCGUCAUUUUUCUUCGAAAAUAUCGAAACCCACAGAAAACAUGGUGUAAAAGCUAAAUAUAUUCAUACAUACUUUAAAUCAGAUAACUGAAGUAUAAAAUUACUUUUACAGUGACACAUGGGCCCCCAACUAACCAAGAAGGUGUAAGGUUACGAACCCUUACUUUCUAGGAUGCAACUCCGAGAUUAAUUCUCGUCUUAAUCAACUAUCAACAAACUAUCCUGAGCCUGAAAAAAUGGAUAGGAAGAGGGGUGAGAUUAUAUAAUUCCAGUGAGUAAACAGACACCAUCAAACCAUCUAAAGGCGAGUAAAUGGAGACGAAUUAAAAUAUUCUUUUCCAAUAAAUGUUUCAUAACAUGAAUAUUUAGUUUACUCAAUUAAUCAACAUGGCUUAUAUAUCUCACAAAACUUGGCUCCUGCCAAAAUCGUUCUCAUGGGUACCUUCGUCAAUGUAUCCCACUAAGACCGCCAAGGCUGUUAAAUGUCUCAUACCCAUAAACAUAUUUUCGCAUAUGACACACAGCCGUUCCUUGGCAUUGGCUAAGUCUCACUCUCAUGCGGUGGUCCAUGUGAAGUGCACUCAAAUCUUUACCUCAGGAGAUACUUCGUCCAACAUCUCCCCCCAGAGGUAAAUAUAUAACUGAGUUACUGUGCCCCUCUCAUAGGCAUUCCACGAGAACCCCCACCACUACAGUGACUAUGGAUUAUUUUAUCUACCACCUGAUUUAUAAAAUCCUUAUCUGCAUGACAUGGCAAUUUAUCGCAAUCUAGCCUCUCAAGGCUGAAUACAUAGUAUAUAUAAUUUUUUAUACAAGUACCAACCUUGCCAUUCAUGCUCACAUAUUGCUAUCAGCCAUAUAAUUUGAAACACAAUUUAUAACACAAACAGGCAGUCUCCAAUUACUCUAAUCAAAACCAAUAUUCAAUUUUUCAAAAAAUUUAUAAAAUCACAAUUUUCCCUAAAACAUAGCAAUUUACCAUUUAAACCCAUUUUCUAUAAAAUCACACAAUCGUGUAAAACUACUCUAGAUAAUUAAGACAAUAAUAAGUUUAUUCACAGUUCUAGGAGUCGAUGUACUCCUAAUCUCAGUCUUCAAGCACAAUCUCUGUACUUUUACCAGUGUAAUUUACUCACCACCU
rnacentral:lncRNA from 1 species